rnacentral:lncRNA from 1 species
UCGUAUAAAUUUAGAACGAUAUUCUAAAACAUGUAUAUCCGGAAUUUAAUAUAUUUAUUCACAAAUUUACAGCAUUUUACUUGUUAAAGAAUUUUUUUUUAAAAAUCAAAUACUAAACAAAUCUAAAUUAAUUGUUACUAACGAUCAAGUCUAACAACCCCAUAAAUGACAAAUCCCCAGCAAUUGGGAUUAAGCAAACUUGGUGGAGCAGUGACGUCGCGAAGGGGUUGAGCAGCGACAAGUCGACAACGGGAGGGGACUGAGCAGCGACGGUGUUUCUUCAGGACUGAGGAACGACGGCUUGACCUUGCGAAGACUAAAGUAAUGACUGAACGGCAUAGGCCAGCGACAGCGUGACGACGUGAUGAGCACUGGCGUUGGAGGAUCCGACGAUUUGCUGCCGUCUGCCGACGAGGGAUUUGGGGUGAGGAUUUGCCGAUUUAGGUGUGCAGCUGAAGUGGGUGAUGAUUGUUGGGUAAUGGAUACUCAGGUGUGUUAAUUGUUUUGCUGUUAUAUGUAAUGUGUUUUUAUCCAAAAGUUUGUGUUAUAUAUAUAUAAAUUUUCCAAUUCAGAAUUUUAAAGUGAGGAAAAAAUUAAAAAAAAUUUAAAAUUAUGCGAUUUUAAAGUAUUAAUUUUAUAAUAUUUUAAAAUUAUACGGUGUGCGCG